UGAAACAUAAGUAUUUAAUCAAUCUCUUAUAUUAUAUUAGUAUUCAUACAUGCAACAACACAAUAGUCAUAAAUAACACCUCAAACAUAAUUACAUCAUCACACUCUCAAUUCACACGGCAACAACAUUAUAAAAACAUCAUCAUCAGGACGACAUGCAUAUACUUGAAUAUGCAACAUCAUAAUCACAUCAUCAAACAUCAACAUCAUAACAACUACAUCACAUUAGGAACUCAACAAAUGCAUAUUAAUAAGCUUUCAAUCAUGUUAAUUCA
rnacentral:lncRNA from 1 species